rnacentral:rRNA from 1 species
AGAGUUUGAUCCUGGCUCAGGACGAACGCUGGCGGCGUGCUUAACACAUGCAAGUCACGGGGGCCCGCAAGGGUAACCGGCGAACGGGUGCGUAACACGUGAGCAACCUGCCUUAGUGUGGGGGAUAGCCGGCCCAACGGCCGGGUAAUACCGCAUACGAUCAUUUGGGGGAGUCCCCGAAUGAGGAAACCUCCGGGGCA